GAUGAACGCUAGCUACAGGCUUAACACAUGCAAGUCGCGGGGCAGCAUGGGGGUUGCUUGCAAUCCCCGAUGGCGACCGGCGCACGGGUGAGUAACGCGUAUCCAACCUGCCCUUCACCACGGGAUAACCCGGCGAAAGUCGGACUAAUACCGUAUGUUGUCCAUUGACGGCAUCCGUUUUGGACGAAAGGUUUGGCGGUGAAGGAUGGGGAUGCGUCCGAUUAGCUGGACGGCGGGGUGACGGCCCACCGUGGCGACGAUCGGUAGGGGUUCUGAGAGGAAGGUCCCCCACACUGGAACUGAGACACGGUCCAGACUCCUACGGGAGGCAGCAGUGAGGAAUAUUGGUCAAUGGGCGUAAGCCUGAACCAGCCAAGUAGCGUGCAGGAUGACGGCCCUAUGGGUUGUAAACUGCUUUUAUGCGGGGAUAAAGUGGCCCACGUGUGGGUUUUUGCAGGUACCGCAUGAAUAAGGACCGGCUAAUUCCGUG
rnacentral:rRNA from 1 species